rnacentral:rRNA from 1 species
UGGGGAAUCUUGGACAAUGGGCGCAAGCCUGAUCCAGCCAUGCCGCGUGGAUGAUGAAGGCCCUAGGGUUGUAAAAUCCUUUCGUCAGGGACGAUAAUGACGGUACCUGAAGAAGAAGCCCCGGCUAACUUCGUGCCAGCAGCCGCGGUAAUACGAAGGGGGCUAGCGUUGUUCGGAAUUACUGGGCGUAAAGCGCAUGUAGGCGGGUCGUUAAGUCGGGGGUGAAAGCCCAGAGCUCAACUCUGGAACUGCCUUCGAUACUGGCGACCUGGACCCAAGGAGAGGCGAGUGGAAUUGCGAGUGUAGAGGUGAAAUUCGUAGAUAUUCGGUGGAACACCAGUGGCGAAGGCGACUCGCUGGACUGAUACUGACGCUGAGGUGCGAAAGCGUGGGGAGCAAACAGGAUUAGAUACCCUCGUAGUCCCUGAGCGGGCUGGCAAGGCGCAU